rnacentral:rRNA from 1 species
UACGAAGGGGGCUAGCGUUGUUCGGAAUUACUGGGCGUAAAGCGCACGUAGGCGGACAUUUAAGUCAGGGGUGAAAUCCCGGGGCUCAACCCCGGAACUGCCUUUGAUACUGGGUGUCUGGAGUCCGGAAGAGGUGAGUGGAAUUCCGAGUGUAGAGGUGAAAUUCGUAGAUAUUCGGAGGAACACCAGUGGCGAAGGCGGCUCACUGGUCCAUUACUGACGCUGAGGUGCGAAAGCGUGGGGAGCAAACAGG